CCUUACCAAGGCNUGACAUAUAGNGNNAANANUGGCAGAGAUGUCAUGUCCGCAAGGGCNCUAUACAGGUNGGUGCAUGGUUGUCNUCAGCUCGUGUCGUGAGAUGUUGGGUUAAAUCCCGCAACGAGCGCAACCCUCGUUNUGUGUUGCCAGCAUUUAGUUGGGGACUCACAGGAGACUGCCGGGGUCAACUCGGAGGAAGGUGGGGAUGACGUCAAAUCAUCAUGCCCCUUAUGUCUUGGGCUGCACGCAUGCUACAAUGGCUGGUACAAAGGGCUGCGAAACCGUAAGGUGGAGCGAAUCCCAAAAAGCCAGUCUCAGUUCGGAUUGGGGUCUGCAACUCGACCCCAUGAAGUCGGAGUUGCUAGUAAUCGCAGAUCAGCAACGCUGCGGUGAAUACNUUCCCGGGCCUUGUACACACCGCCCGUCACAUCACNAAAGUCGGUAACACCCAAAGUCANUGGNCCAACCGCAAG
rnacentral:rRNA from 1 species